ACUUCCAGCGCACCAUUUCUGUCACAUGGGGGGUAUUAGGCCGAGAGGAAAAGGGACUGCCUGUCUGCAGAGGAGGCGCGAGGGCAGCAAUGGCGUAUAUGCACCAAACGGCCCGGAAAGGCCUCGUGGGCUCAUGAGGUGGGAGCGGCCUCAUGCGGGGACUGGGGAGGUGGCUAGGCUUUCAGCCCAGGCCGCUGAGUCCCUUUCACCUCAUCAGCCCCUGGAGAGCUUACCAGGGAUCCCGAGCCUGGGCGAGGGGAGCCAGCCAGGUCGGUGUGAGGGGCAGCCAUUCUGCAGCCCCGGCUCUCCACAGGCUGCAGGGAGGGAGUCCUGGGGUCAAGGGUCACCGUGCCCCUUCUCCCUCCGAACGCAGAAAACUGCCUGCCUCUUCGAGGUGAGCCGGCGAGUCAGCCUCCUCAGGGCUCGCCCACAGCCGCCACUGCCCUUCAGGGCUGGUCUUUCGGGUGAAGCCCGGCUUCAUCCAGCCUGGUGGACACAGCCAUUUCCAGUUUUGGAGGAGCCAGGACACCAGCUUCUGAGGCCAUAGUUCCGGCAAAGGAGCACAUUCCUGGUCCUCUGUCCUGUGGAGCAUUCGAAGAACCAACAAAGGUCAGAGUGGCGGGACCACAAGGAUCAAAGAGGAAAGUGGCCCCAGACAUGAGGUCCACAGAGAAAGGGGAAGGGGUCCCUCCCCUCGCCAAAGCAAAAGCUUCUCUAGAGGAAGCGCCUCCAGAGUCUUCCUCAAUAAAUGCUUCAGAGUCGUUGGUUGAACAAAACUUAUCCACAGUCACAAGACUUUCCGAGCUGGAGUCGAACACUGAGGAAUGGGAAGGUGGGAUCCUAACUUGGUGUGUGUCAGCCUGGGACACACAGGCCGCAGUCUCAGAGACCCGGGUGGCAAAGGCUCGGGCCUGGGAGACCCAUGCUUUGGAGGCUCAGGUAAGAGGUGGCCCACAACCUAAGCCCAGUGCCACAAAAGAAGGGACUGUGACAACCUCAGAGGAGACAAGAUAUAUGAGCAGGGAAGAGAGUGACGUCUUCCUUCCCCGUCAGCUCUGGUCCAGCAAGCUUAAGUUCAUCCUGGCCGUGGUGAGCUA